GUGUUUUUCCGGUCGUGUCAUCCUUCUGCUUUUGGUUGAGUAAAGCUUCUCCGACGGCUCUUUUGAUCCAGAGGUACUGCCGUGUCAUCCUUUUGUCCGGACGAGGAUGACAAGACAGGUAAUAUGCAACAUUUGGGGUGUUUUUUUAUAGCACUGCCUUUGCGUGCCGGCCCAAUCACAUAAUAUCUACGGCUUUUCACCUACACAAGUGAAUGCAACGCAUACUUGGUCAACAGCCAUACAGGUCACAGUGAGCGUGGCCGUAUAAACAACUUUAACACUGUUACAAAUAUGUGCCACACUGUGAACCCAUACCAAACAAGAAUGACAAAAACAUUUCGGUAGAACAUCCGCAUCGUAACACGGCACUGAUUGUUAUUUAUUACUUUGGUACUCUUGUCUUGUUCUGUAUAUUGUACAGUAUUUUGUAUUUCUAUAUUGUUUCGUAUAUUGUACAGGAUUGUUUAUUAUUUUUAUUAGAUAGUAGUCCGUUUAUUUCAAUUGUUAGUAUUUUCCUUUGUUACCUCUUGUUUUAUUUAUUUCACCCCAUAUUUGUUCCCACUACCGCACCUUAGGUUGGAGUCUUUAAUCUCGUUAUAUGCAAAUAUAAUGACAAAGAAUAUAACGACAAUAAAGUCCAUUCUAUUCUAUUCUAUUCAUAAAAACCACAGAACAAAUACCCAGAAACCCUUGCAGCACUAACUCUUCCAGGACGCUGCAAUAUACACCCCCCCAACCCCGCCCACCUCAACCUCCUCAUGCUCUCCCAGGAAGAGCAUGUCCCAAAUUCCAAGCUGCUGUUUUCAGGCAUGUUAAAAAAAAUAAUGCACUUUGUGACUUCAAUAAUAAAUAUGACAGUGCCUUGUUGGCAUUUAUUAUCCAUAACUUGAGUUGAUUUAUUUUGGAAAACCUUGUUGCAUUGUUUAAUUCAUCACAAAAAAUUAGGCAUAAUAAUGUGUUUAUUCCACCACUGUAUAUAUCGGUAUCGGUUGAUAUCGGAAUCGGUAAUUAAGAUUUGGACAAGUCGGAUAUCGGCAAAAAAGCCAUUAUCGGACAUCUCUAAAAACACAGGACCAAAGUUGAUUUUCGAGGUAAAAAAUUUGGCGGAAUUUAACUGUAAAAUCUAUUGUAAAUUUUGUAGUCUACAAUUUGAUACAUUGUUUUGAAAUCAUUAUUCAAGCACAUACUUAAGUAAAUGUCAUGUUCUGUGGUUUCCUAAUUAUGUUUUGUUAUUUUUUUGUUAGUUUUUGGACUCCAUUAGUUCCUGUUUGUGUGGCACUUAGUGAUUUAUUUGGAUUAAAAUAGUUGCCCCCCAUUAAAAACUCUUUAAGGUCAGAAAACUCGAUUUAAAUACUAUAUAGACUUAUUUUUUUGUGAUAGCAAGGUUUUCUAUGUAUUUCUAUGCAGCAUGCGAUAUUUAGUUUUACCAGCAGAGGGCGCUUGGUGCCAUUGGUCCCAGUAGCUAACACUGUAGAAGAAGUCUGUCAGUAUGUGAUAAGAAAAAAGCAGAUGCAUCAAGCUCCUGUUGUAACGCUGUGUUAAUUGUUUUUCAGGUAACGAGUGGAGGACAGAAAAGCUUCUAAAAGAGGAAGUUACUGACACGAUGGCGACGCAUGGUGGAUGCGCGUUGUCACCCCAGGGAUGCAAGAGGACCAAGACAGGCAGGAGUUGCAGCCCUGGCCUUGGAGACGCUCCACUAUGACGCUUCUCUGAGCCUGAGCGCAAGGAAAGGAAGCGAGGAGACGAGGAGACUCGUACAGUAGAGGUCACGGAAAGAGGAAGGAGCAGCGGAGGAGACAAGCCGUUACUGAAAUUUGGACUUUGGUCAGUUUUGUUUGAGCGGGAAAAAUCCACCAAUCAUGUCCAGUGCUGGAACACAAAACAUGAGAAACGCCCCCAAGGAAUGGAAUCAACCAAUCACGUCCAAAGUGGAAAUGCAGCAACUAAUAAGAUAAUGACAGACUAUUUGGUGGGAGAUUCAAAAUUCUGGCUGUGACAGAUUAUCACAUUUUAGCAGAAAGUGAGAAAUUUUUUUAAUACAAAGACGGACUUAUUGAAUGUUCAUUUUUUGGGGAUCUACUGAAAGAGGAUCUGCAAGUGUUGGACAGAGGACAUGAUGGAUCAUUCUGCAAAGAUGUCAACCCUGGAAGAGCAGCAGCAGUGCUGUGUGUGUUUUGAGACGUAUAAAGAUCCAGUGUCUCUCAGCUGUCACUGCUUGGACACACUCAAAGGAGAACAUGCAUGCAAAACAUGUCCAGUUUCUAACAAGAGAGCAUCAUUAGACCUACCACCAUGGAUCAACUUUGGUUUGGAGACAAAGGACAACCUGGGACAAAAGAAGAGAACAAACAUAAAGAAAUCGGAAUGAAGAUGAGACAAUCCGUGACUGCCCAGACCUUCCAACCUUCAAAAGCCUUCCCAAAACACACCUCUUCAGAUCUGGUUUUAACCUGUGAUUAGUGUUCUGUGUCUUGUAGUGUCCUGUCUUGUAAUUGUCCUGUAUUAUCAUGUAUUUUACAAUGUACUGCUUUUAUAUUUCCUGUAUUUUAUAUUAUUACUUUAAACUAAUUGAUAUUUUAAUGUUUUUUUAUCCUGUAAAGCGUAUUUGAUUGCUCAGAAAAGCGCCAUACCAAAUAAAAUGUAUUAUUAUUAUUAUUAUUAUUAUUACAAAUACAAAUCAAGAUGAACAAGCAUUGUGGAGAAAGAAUGUGCAGAAAGGGAAUGUUGAACAAUUAAAUGUUUACUGAAGUUUAUACUUUGCUUAAAAGGUGUAAACAGAGCUGAUGUGGUACAAGAACUGGAGUCCAAAGUUCAAAGUAGUGAACCUGGUACUUUCAGUACAGACCAAAAGUUAAAAUGUAUUCAAUUCAUUCUUGUUUCUGGUGAUCGUUUUCAUAUUAAUAUUUUCUUAAUUUUUUUAUAUACUUUAUGUCAUGUUUUAUUCAUAAUGGUACUUUUUCAUCACUUAGAAUAUUGUUUGUUUGUGGUAAACUAAUGCAGUGGUUUUCAAAUGGCGGUACGCGUACCCCUGGGGGUACUUGAAGGUAUGCCAAGGGGUACGUGAGAUUUUUUUUUUUAAUAUUCUAAAAAUAGCAACGAUUCAAAAAUCCUUUAUAAAAAUAUUUAUUGAAUAAUACUUCAACAAAGCAUGAAUGUAAGUUCAUAAACUGUGAGAAGAAAUGCAACAAUGCAAUAUUCAUUUUUGUGGACAUGUUCCAUAAAUAUUUUUUGGUGAAGAAAUGUUUAGAAUUAAGUUGAUGAAUCCAAAUGGAUCUCUAAUACAAUCCCCAAAGAGGGCACUUUGUGGUGAUGAUUAUUUCUAUGUGUAGAAAUCUUUAUUUAGAAUUAAAUCACUUGUUUAUUUUUCAACAAGUUUUUAGUUAUUUUUACAUCUUUUUUUCCAAAUAGUUAAAAAAAUGUAGGAAGUACAAACUGCACAUAACAGCAGUCCAGUCCAUAGUGGAUCUAACAUAAUAAUGUGAGAGUCCAGUCCAUAGUGGAUCUAACAUAAUAAUAAGAGUCCAUUCCAUAGUGGAUCAAACAUAAUAGUGAGAGUCCAGUCCAUAGUGGAUCUAACAUAAUAGUGUGAGUCCAGUCCAUAGUGGAUCUAACAUAAUACUGAGAGUCCAUUCCAUAGUGGAUCUAACAUAAUAGUGAGAGUCCAGUCCAUAGUGGAUCUAACAUAAUAGUAAGAGUCCAGUCCAUAGUGGAUCUAACAUAAUAGUGAGAGUCCAGUCCAUAGUGGAUCUAACAUAAUAGUGAGAGUCCAGUCCAUAGUGGAUCUAACAUAAUAGUGAGAGUCCAGUCCAUAGUGGUUCUAACAUAAUAAUAAGAGUCCAUUCCAUAGUGGAUCUAACAUAAUAGUGAGAGUCCAGUCCAUAGUGGAUCUAACAUAAUAAUGUGAGUCCAUUCCAUAGUGGAUCUAACAUAAUAGUGAGAGUCCAGUCCAUAGUGGAUCUAACAUAAUAGUAAGAGUCCAGUCCAUAGUGGAUCUAACAUAAUAGUAAGAGUCCAGUCCAUAGUAGAUCUAACAUAAUAGUGUGAGAGUCCAGUCCAUAGUGGAUCUAACAUAAUAGUGUGAGAGUCCAGUCCAUAGUGGAUCUAACAUAAUAGUGUGAGAGUCCAGUCCAUAGUGGAUCUAACAUAAUAGUGUGAGAGUCCAGUCUAUAGUGGAUCUAACAUAAUAGUAAGAGUCCAGUCCAUAGUGGAUCUAACACAGGGGUGCCCAUUACGUCGAUCGCGAGCUACUAGUCGACCGCGGGGGGUGUGUCAGUCGAUCUCGAGCCAGGCUUUUAAAAAAAAAUAGACCUAAAAAUUAGAGAUCAUCAAUCUUCACCAAGACGUCACUUAAAUGACAUUCACGGUACUGGAGGGUCUUGUGAGAUGACGCUGGCUGCUGCAAGAUCAUUAUUAUUAAAAUAUGACCGAGAGGAAGGCGAGAAACACUUUUUAUUUCAACAGACUCUCGCGCCGUACCUUCCGUCAAAACUCUAAAGGCCGACUGCACAUUUCCUAUCCUCACAAUAAAAGCCUUGCUUCAUGCUGCCUGCGCUAACUAAAUACAGAGUCUCGGAAAACUGGCGUGCACAAGCGAUCCCUCAGAAAGCUGGCCUGCACAUCACUUGUGCACGCCAGCGGCGCGGCCGGACAGGUGCCCGGCCUGAAACUGACGGUGGAGGCCUGUGAGAGGCGGGGCGUGGUCACGCGCCGCCUGCCGGCGAUGGCAUGCACAGGAGCCGGCUGGAAGCAAGAUGACAGGUGAGUGGAUACCUCAGCUGGAACGAGUUAUCUAAUCACCUGUCUCUAUUUAGCAGCGUUGGUGACUGCAGGGCGGGGCUGAAAAGCCAGAAGGACCCCAGGAGGUGCUGAGGAUGCCAGAAGGGUUGUGGGAGGACUGAGCGAGUUAAAAACUUUGUGAGUGAACGAACUAAGACUGAAAAGACUUGGGGAGUGAACGAAGAAGAUGAACUGUUGUGAAAAUUAAAAAUUAAAAGAAAAUCCUUUUGGGAACAAACAAAAGAAGAAAUAUUGUGUGUAAAAUGAUUAAAAAGAAUUGUCAACUUGAACUCCUGCUGUGAUCCUUCGGUCCUGAAGACCCCACGACACAAACCUGUCACACAGAUGUUCUCAGAGAAUACACCAUAGGUGAAGGGUAUUUCACAAAUCAGUUAAAACAACAAAAACAAAGGUAGCAUUUCUGAGCCAAUUAUUUUAGGCUUCUGUAAAAAAAAAAAAUGCAGAGUCAACAUUUAAAACAAAACCAACACUUCCUGUCAACAGCGUCACUUCCCUAACUUCCCCGGAAGUCCCGCCCCCCAGCCAAAGCCAUUGGCUAAAACCCCGUAGCCAGCCGCUACAAUAUUUACAGCUAGAAUUCACCAACUCGAGUAAUAUAUAUUCGGUAACUUAACCCUAGACGUACAUUGAAAAUACACGCAACACUAAUUCAAAAUGCCGAACAAUUGAGGUAUUUAAAAAAAAAAACGCCCGGACAACCCAGACACCCCCGCAAAAGAGGACAUGUCUGGGGAAAAGAGGACGUAUGGUCAGCCUAAUCUUGCGGGCCGGAUAAAACCUGUUCGCGGGCCGUACGUUUGACACCCCUGCACUACGAAUCUUAAAAAAAGUCACAAAAAUGGGGUUCCACAGUGAGUUUUUGGGGUCCCACUUUUUUGUAACCAUUUUGAAAACAAAUGAUGAAUGAAUGCAUU